GAGGGUAUAGCUCAGUGGUAGAGAGCAUGCCUAGCAUGCACGAGGUCCUGGGUUCAAUCUCCAGUACCUCCU
rnacentral:tRNA from 1 species